rnacentral:lncRNA from 1 species
UCCGCCCCUCCGCCCCUGUUCUGACUUCUACUUAUCCAGGAAGUAUUAUGAAGACAUAUAAGUUAAUGGAAGGAAGAAGAUGAAAUCUUUCUCCCCUUUUGCCAUUAAAUAAAUUUGAACUGCUUUAAAGUGUUCUCUUUGAAAUCCUGUUCACUGGAGACCCCGAGGAAUCAUUGGAAGUUAGGAAACCCAGUUUCUAUUUUGAGUCCUUCUUGUUGAGAAAGGGAAGGACUUAGAAUCCAGCUUUGAGCUAAUGUUACAUGCCAGGAAGGGUCUUAGGCAAUGAAGGUGCUUUAUCUGUUGCUCCCACAUUAGGGCCUCAGCUGUUAACAGUCUUCAUUUAUUUCGCUCUUUACCGAGUCUUUAAAAUGAAAGUAAGACUGAUUUAUCACUGAAGAACACUGAACUCUGGUUGAAAGGCAUUAAGUUCAGAAAACACAAGUCCAGAGGUUUUAAACUAUAUUGAUGGAGAACAGUCAUAGUAACAGCUAAUAUUUACUUAGUGCUUAUAAGAGACAACUGUGCUAUAUGCUUUAGGAUUCUGCGUAAUUUGUAGUAUGUUUCACGUACAAGCUCACUAAAUUCUUUCAGUUAAUGACGGUGGCAGUUGCUAAGCUAUAGGCCAACUUAUUCCUUUCAGUCACAGUCUAGGGAGAGAUGACACGGGCAUGUUGAGUCACUCAAAACAGGCUCAAACCACCCCAAGGAGUUUGCUUGAUGAAAGGUUUUCCUUUCCUUCAAAGCCACUUCCUGUGUCACAUGACCUGUAUCACUCCAAAGAUAAUAACACUUCAUGCUUCCAGAACACUUUUAUCCAAAGAUUUCAAAGCAUUUUCAAAUGUUAAUUAAGCCUUCACCAUUCUGGAAGAUAGCAAUACCAAUCUUGCUGUUUAAAUACUGUAUUCCAGAACACAGGUUGUUCUAAUCACUGAGAGGGAAAUGGAGGCCUCUCUGAGCAAAUCCAGUGGGUAAGCCACCACCCAAACACUGAUGACACCCAGAAUUGUCCUACGUCUCCUGGGAAACCACCACAGCAUCUCUGUUCUAAAUUGUCCGCUGAUCCCACUGGUUGUUUACCUUGGAAGAACCACAUCAAAGAAAAAAAGGGGAAUCCUGCCAAAGCAAUGGCCUAGAACAAUUUGCCAAAAGGUAAGAGAUAAGAUCUUCAUGGCAAUUCCAACUCAAGACUUAGAGCUUAUGAAAAUCAUUUUCCCAUCUGUAAUAUGGAGAGAAUACCUACUCUUGAGUUGCUGAAAAACGAUCCUCCCAGAAGAAGAUGUCCUAACUUCAGUGCAACAAAAACCUGAGCGAUAACAUCAGAUUUUGCCAGAAUGGAGUUACAUCCUGGCUGUCAUACAGAAACCCAGGCCUCCGACAGUGAGCACACUGUUAUGCCACAUUCUUUCAACAACUCCAGAAUGGAGGAAAACAAUGACAUGGGUAAUUUAAAAUAGCAGAAGAUUUCAAAAAAAAAAAUCUUUUGUGUCUGAAGCUUUGAAUUAGUUAUAUGAUUAUUAUUUUAUUUACUUGAGUUCUUAACCACAUUUUUCAAAUGUUAAAUUGCAAUUGUUCCACAGUUUCUGAAACAGUGUUAGCUAAGUACUAGAGCAAGUCAGCCAAGAAAAUACCACACAGCAGAGAAACUAAAUUCAGGGUCCAGCUUCUGUGAGGCCAAAAUGCUGGUGGCAUCAGACAUGUUACUAACUUAUCUGGCCUUCAGUUUCCUCAAGCAGAAAAGAAAGUGGACUAACCCGGUGACCCAGUGGCUAAGACGCAGCAUUCCCAGUACAGAGAGCUGAGGUUCAAUCUCUAAUCAGAGGGCUAGAGUCUACAUGCUGAGUAAGGGUUUCCAUGCCACAAGUAAGACCCAGGGCAACCAAACCAAUUUGUUUAAAAGAGAAGAAGAAAAUGAAGGGAUUGAUCUAGAAUAUUUAUGUCUAUUCAAUAAAUACUUAUAAUUAGUUAUCAAUAUAUCUUAACCGUCAUGAUGUUUACAGUCUAGUGAGCUUUCCUGAUGGAUCAGUGGUUAAAGAAUCUGCUUGCAGUGUAGACAGGAGACACUGGUUCCAUCCCUGGGUUGGGAAGAUGCCCUGGAGGAGAAAAUGGCAACCCAUUACAGUAUUCUUGUCCAGAGAAUUCCAUGGACAGAGGAGGCUGGAGGGCUACAGUCAAAGGUUCACAAAGAGUCAGACACAACUGAGCAUGCACGCACAGAUGGAAGAAAGAAACAAGA